rnacentral:misc_RNA from 1 species
CGAAGUAAAAGUCGUAACAAGGUUUCCGUAGGUGAACCUGCGGAAGGAUCAUUCAUAAUAAGUGUUUUAUGGCACUUUUUUAAAUCCAUAUCCACCUUGUGUGCAAUGUCAGGGUUGAUUUUUCUCUCGAGAGGAUCAACCCCAGACAUCAACUAUAUCUCAGCUCUUUGUCUGAAAAAUAUUAUGAAUAAAACAAUUCAAAAUACAACUUUCAACAACGGAUCUCUUGGCUCUC